UCUUUUUCACAUUGCAGCAAUAUUGUCAAAUGAUGAAUAAAUGUUGAACCACCUACGAUGACAUUGCUAUAACAUUCAUGCUAUAGGCUAUAAUUGUCUGCCCUCUCGGGCUAUUUCUGAAGCCCAAAUAGAAAAGCCGGUACCAGCUAGAUCACUUCUCCUCACCAUUACUACAUUAAUUUUUUUUAUUUUUUGCUUCGAGCGCAAGCUUGCAUGUGGUGUGCAUACAGCUGGCGAGCAGUGCAAGUGUACUUAACUAUGUCACACUGAUGUAAAAAUAUAUACCUGUAUCGAAAAUAUUUCUAAACAGCUGAAAUAUCUGUUUUUUUAUUAAGCAGGCGGUCUAAAUAAAAACUGCCGAAAAAAUUGAGUUCUGGUUUCACUGACGCUCCGCAGUCUAAUGGCCAUGGAGAUCAUCACAAAUCCAAAUCGCGGUACAGCCGAGAGCCCAUUUCCUUCUUCCAUGCCUUCUUCCAUGCGACAGCCAGCCCUGCGACGCGCGCUCAUCUAAAAACGUGCCACUCAGCGGCAGUCGUGUCAAAGUCCGCGUUUUUUGUUGUUCUAGCAUAGUUUUUUUUGCAGUCGCCGUGCCUGUGCUUUUUUUCUUGUAGCUUCUCUGCAAUUCAACUGAAAUGGCGCAGGCUUGCUCCGAGGAUGACCUCAGUGGGGGGAAGACAUACAGCAUCGUUCUUUUUGAAGAUGAAGAUGAAGUUUCCGUCGUGCCCACUUCGUGGAUUUCAGAAAACACAGUUAGGUGGCCACCAUUUAAGAGCACCGCAAAGAUAACUACUGCCAUCAAAGAGCAACAACCACCAUCAAGCGACUGGACUAGCUACAGAUGUCGAGUGUUGUGGACAUGUGGCAGCUAUGAAAGUGCUAGACAAAAAGAGCAGCAAGCAGAAUUCACAUCAGAUUUGGCCUCAGAUGUUGAAACAAUUCAGCAAAGGCGGAAGAGGCGGCCACCAGCGCGCCUGGAGUCUUCAGAUGAAGAGAGCAUCGACUUUCCUGUUCCUCUACGAGGACAGUGCUUUAAUUCUUCGCAACAAACUGCGAAGUUUGUUUCACGACCACCACCGCCAAAAAUUGUGAAAUUGUCACGGUUCAAGCCCCAGUCACUUGCUUCACAGGAUCCCCAGAUACAAAAGGCCCCACCUAGCCGGGAAGUGGCUUUAGAUGAUGGCGAUUCUUUUGCUGAAAAAAGGAAGCUUGACCAAAAUGCCAUGCUUGGAAAGUUGCUCAAGGAGGUGAAGGGAAUAAGAGCUCAGGUAGAUGGCCUGGAAAAAUCCAUCCAAAGGAUAGAGCAAGCCAUCACAGAAAAUAAACAACCGUGUGCACAACCUGUCAGCAGUGCCAUUCUUGAACUGCUUCCCCUGGCAACUCAUCAGAGGCUGGAAGAAUUGGAGUGGCAGCUUCAUGAUGAAAAAAACAGGACAGACCUCAAACGCUGAAAAGCAAUUUCGCACAGGCCACGGAGUCACAAAUACAUCUUUCGAUUGCCGAAUGGCUCCGUUAUGCACCAUCAAGACAGAAGAAACGGGAUGCAGCUUCGCCUUUGAUGUCAUGAAUCAGACCAUCAUCAUGAGCAGCUGGAGGCCACCAGGGGACAAGGGGACAAGAAGUUUCUAGAUGUGCUGAAUUUUUGAGGCAAAUGUUGACAGUACUUUAAAUUUGUAGUUUUCCAGUGCAACGGCACAUGGCCAAACAAGGGAUGAAGGAGACUUGGAAGAAAACAGUGCAGCAACAGGGACAAGACAGAAGACUGUACAGGUGCUGACUAGCAACUGAAGGUUUAUUGAAAAGGAAAACAUAAAAUAUACUCCCUUUACAACCUAGAGCACGCAUGGUCUACACCAACAACUCUGAUAAGCUGUCAGCUUCAGUUUUGGUGGUCAGCUACAACAGUUCGCAGUGAUGAACGAGGACGGAUGGGGUCCGCAACACAUGCAACACAUGCUAUUCUUGUUGUGUAAAUAGUUUACUGAAGUGUUUGAUAUUUGUAACAUGCAAGUUCAGAGGUG